UACGGAAGGCAGCAGGGGGAAUAUUGCACAAUGGGCGAAAGCCUGAUGCAGCUAUGCCGCGUGUAUGAAGAAGGCCUUAGGGUUGUAAAGUACUUUUCAUCGGGGAGGAAAAAACAAAACUAAUAAUUUUAUUUCUUGACGUUACCCGAAAAAGAAGCACCGGCUAACUCCGUGCCAGCAGCCGCGGUAAUACGGAGGGUGCUAGCGUUAAUCAGAAUUACUGGGCGUAAAGAGCACGUAGGUGGUUUUUUUAAGUCAGAUGUGAAAUCCCUGGGCUUUAACCUAGGAACUGCAUUUUGAAACUGAAAUACUAGAGUAUCGUAGAGGGAGGUAGAAUUCUAGGUGUAGCGGUGAAAUGCGUAGAUAUCUGGAGGAAUACCUGUGGCGAAAGCGGCCUCCUAAACGAAUACUGACACUGAGGGUGCGAAAGCGUGGGGAGCAAACGAGGAUUAGAUA
rnacentral:rRNA from 1 species